rnacentral:rRNA from 1 species
UCUGACGGUGAGGAACGAAGGCUAGGGGAGCAAACCGGAUUAGAUACCCGGGUAGUCCUAGCUGUAAACACUGCCCACUUGGUGUUGCAUCUCCGGUAAGGGGGUGCAGUGCCGUAGCGAAGGUGUUAAGUGGGCCGCUUGGGGAGUAUGGUCGCAAGCCUGAAACUUAAAGGAAUUGGCGGGAGAGCACCGCAACGGGAGGAGCGUGCGGUUUAAUUGGAUUCAACGCCGGAAAACUCACCGGAGGCGACCUAUGUAUGAGAGUCAACCUGAUGAGUUUACUCGAUAGUAGGAGAGGUGGUGCAUGGCCGUCGUCAGCUCGUACCGUAGGGCGUUCACUUAAGUGUGAUAACGAGCGAGACCCCCAUCUUCAAUUGCUAAUUCAAUCGUGAGGUUGGAAGAACUUUGAAGGGACCGCCAGCGCAGAGCUGGAGGAAGGAGGGGUCGACGGCAGGUCAGUACGCCCCGAAUCUUCCGGGCUACACGCGCGCUACAAAGGACAGGACAAUGGGCUGCGACCUCGAAAGGGGAAGCCAAUCCCGAAACCUGUUCGUAGUUAGGAUUGAGGGCUGUAACUCGCCCUCAUGAAUCUGGAUUCCGUAGUAAUCGCGGGUCAACAUCCCGCGGUGAAUAUGCCCCUGCUCUUU